CAGGGACCAAUGCCGAGCCCCCACAGGGGUCAAGCUUCUGGGCUGUGAGCUCACAACCCCCUACCGCCCUGCUGAGCAGGCAAGAAUCAUGCUCAGGUGAUGAACAAGCACAAGCCGGGAGUCGUUGCUCGCCAUAGAUGUAGCUUGUGACAAAGUGGCUGGACCCUGCCAGAGAAGGAGCAAUGUUAUUGGAGAGGGACGGAGCCAGAGCAGCAGGAGAGAGCCGCUGGGCCAUGCCGGUGGGAGGAGGAGCCACGGAAAGGACAGUGCCCCGGGAGCCACCAGCAGCAAGGACGCCACCCCAGAUGCUCCCGGACAGCUAGUGCACUCACAGCAAAGUUCUCCUGGAGCCCUGAGUGCAUGGAUUUAAUUUUUCUUUUUGCUUGUGAUGGUCUCUCCCACUGGACUAUAAGCUUCUUGAGGUCUUCUCAGCCAUGAAAAGAAGUGACAGCAGUCACUGCAUGGGGUUGCUGUGAGGACUAAGUGAGAGUGUGGAGCUGAAAUCCUCUGACAAACUGUGCAGUGCUCUUCAGAUGUCGGGACCUUUGUUGCAGCCCUCACCUACUCUCCACCUCGGCUGUGCUUUGGAAACCUGCCCAGGCACCAGCUAUGUCGACUCCCGCUGCCAUUCAGGCCCAUAAGGAUAUCCCAGAAAAUAAUUUUGCCACCUCUCUAUGUUAACAGCUCGAAAUCUCCAGACACUUCUGAUUACCAGGAUUUUGAGUACAUGACGGUUUUCUUCCUCAAAAUUCUUAAAUAGCAAAAAGGCUUGAAUGACAGUCAGGACUGGCAGAAGUUGGACUGUCAUUGUGAACCAAGGAAGGAGGCUGCAAAAGGAAAUGGGAAGAAAGUGGAUAUGCUGAUAGCCAGGCUGGUGCUCUUCCAGGUAAGUCUACCUGCCCUGGCCCCAGGCGGCCCUGUCCUGGGCUUGGCUGGUCCUGCAGGUUCCCAGGAUACAGCAGAACUAGUGGAUGGCCUGGAAAGCAAGUAUUUAGGCAGAUCGUAUCUUCUGCCUGGAGAGAAUGUGAAUACUGUGGAAAGAGCCAGGCCAUGAAUUCUGCAGAGCCCAGCUCCAGUUCCUAUUCUGUCCCCUUACUAACAGGGUACAUUGAGCAAGUCUCCUAAUCCAUUAGACCCUCAGUUCUUCAUUGCUAAAUAGAAAUCAUUUUGAUGAGAAUCAAAAUCAAAUGUGACCAUUUAUGAAAAUUGUAUGCAUAGUACCUGUGAUCAAUAAAUGGCAAUUGAAACUAAUUCUAAAUCUAUUUCUCCAGACUAGUAUUUCAUGCUGCUAGGAAACAAGCAAAGACAAGUGAUUUAGAAAACUAAGGUGCUGGGGUAGAUAUUUUUUCUUUAAUACCUCUCAAUCAGGACAAAACAAUUUCCACCAGUUGGGCUGAAAAACUUGCCAUGGGAGCAAGGAUUCUGG
rnacentral:lncRNA from 10 species